rnacentral:rRNA from 1 species
ACUGCUCAGUAACACGUGGAUAACCUGCCCUUGGGUCCGGCAUAACCCCGGGAAACUGGGGAUAAUUCCGGAUAACGCACAUAUGCUGGAAUGCUUUAUGCGUAAAAUGGAUUCGUCUGCCCAAGGAUGGGUCUGCGGCCUAUCAGGUAGUAGUGGGUGUAAUGUACCUACUAGCCUACAACGGGUACGGGUUGUGAGAGCAAGAGCCCGGAGAUGGAUUCUGAGACAUGAAUCCAGGCCCUACGGGGCGCAGCAGGCGCGAAAACUUUACAAUGCGGGAAACCGUGAUAAGGGGACACCGAGUGCCAGCAUCAUAUGCUGGCUGUCCAGGUGUGUAAAAUACACCUGUUAGCAAGGGCCGGGCAAGACCGGUGCCAGCCGCCGCGGUAACACCGGCGGCCCGAGUGGUGAUCGUGAUUAUUGGGUCUAAAGGGUCCGUAGCCGGUUUGGUCAGUCCUCCGGGAAGUCUGACAGCUUAACUGUUAGGCUUUCGGGGGAUACUGCCAGACUUGGAACCGGGAGAGGUAAGAGGUACUACAGGGGUAGGAGUGAAGUCUUGUAAUCCCUGUGGGACCACCUGUGGCGAAGGCGUCUUACCAGAACGGGUUCGACGGUGAGGGACGAAAGCUGGGGGCACGAACCGGAUUAGAUACCCGGGUAGUCCCAGCCGUAAACGAUGCUCGCUAGGUGUCAGGCAUGGCGCGACCGUGUCUGGUGCCGCAGGGAAGCCGUGAAGCGAGCCACCUGGGAAGUACGGCCGCAAGGCUGAAACUUAAAGGAAUUGGCGGGGGAGCACA